ensembl:lncRNA
UUUCUUAUUACUGUCCCAUUUCUAACUGAGGCAAAUCAUUGUUCAACCUUUUCUCUGGCAUCAUUAUUCCCUUAUGCUAGGAAAGCGUUCCAGUCAGUGCUCUGUCUAGAGAGCAGUUCUGCUGGGUGCGAGCACGCACUUUACACGUGCCUUUUAGUAAACUGUACAUUCUGGGGAAGUAUUUGUCACAUAUGAAGAGUCUAGACUACCCAGAUGAGACCAUUACGUUGUCAUCUGGCCAUAACCCAAAACAAAUAUUAUCCCUCCCGUGACUACAUUAGACUAAUAUCACUAAGUCCUUAAAUACUCCCAAGCGUUCUUGUUUCCUCCUGGCUUGUGUCCUGUUCCAUCAGAAUGAAGCAGGCUUGUGCACUGUGCUGCAGCUCUGAUGAGGAAAUGGGCCAUUUGGUGGCAUUUCAGCCCAUUUGCUACACACAGAUGGGCAGAUGGAGUGCUGGCUGUGCACAUCGGCUUCACCCAAACCAGUCUGUGGUCACUCAUGCCAGGGACCUGCUGCAGGCCUUCUCACCUUUGGGGAGCUUAUGGUGUCCUUUGAAUCUUCGAACAUUCUUCAGGACUGAUAUUUAUGCCUGCUGGAGCCUGAGGAGCUGUUGGGUUGCUCUGUGUGUACCAGCAGUAUCUUUGCUGACCUCGUGGACUCUGCAGGAUGCAUUCAUUUCCUCUGAGAAAUUGCAAAAACACAUUGUUUGCAGUGGGACUUUCACGCAACGUGAAAUGUCCAACCCAAACAAAUGUGCUCCCAUUUAAAUACCUGGUGGGUCUGCUUCCUUCAGCCAUUCGCAGCACUGCUAAAUGGAAACCUGUGCAACAUCAGAAAGAUGCUUCCAAUUGCAGCAGGCUCCCUGUUUUCGGUCUCGUGAUUGCAUUUGGUCUUGGAAAACGCUGAGAUGAGGCUUCUGACAGCAAGUGACCCUGUUUUGCCAUAGACCAAUGCCAGCCAACUUCAUCACCAUGUGUGGGGUUUUCUGCUUAUCUGCACACACAAGGCUCUGCCCUCUGCCACCUGAUCACAGGGUCAGGAGAACGAAUGAGAUGGUCCUUCUGUCUCUGCAAAAUCACCACUGAAAUCUCAGCUCGGUUGCAAAGAGUGGCAAAACCUGCGUUAAAAUCACUGGAAGCAAUGGUUUUCCCUGCGUGUGUUCUGUGAUGCACGCAGCAGGGGAAAGUGUAGGUAAUACUGUAAAUACGAAGUGACCCAGUGUAAAGAAAGAGUUUGGGGAUGAGUCGAAUCUUAAUUCAUUUUUAAUUCCGGGGCUGACGGGCAGCUGCUGUUCUGCCAUCAACCUCUGUUCACCCCUCAAUAUUUUGAUUCCCAAAAAAGAGAC